rnacentral:rRNA from 1 species
UACGUAGGGUCCGAGCGUUGUCCGGAAUUACUGGGCGUAAAGAGCUCGUAGGUGGUUUGUCGCGUUGUCCGUGAAAACUCACAGCUCAACUGUGGGCGUGCGGGCGAUACGGGCAGACUGGAGUACUGCAGGGGAGACUGGAAUUCCUGGUGUAGCGGUGGAAUGCGCAGAUAUCAGGAGGAACACCGGUGGCGAAGGCGGGUCUCUGGGCCUGUCCUGACGCUGAGGCGCGAAAGCUAGGGGAGCGAACAGG